GAUGGUGUCAUUCGCCUUGAUCAGAGGGUCAGGAUACCGGAUUGUGCGUCCGUCGUAAGUGUUCAGAUAAGGGAUACCCUUUUGCCCGAACUGCACCGAGCGAACUUUGCACAGCUUAUACUUAGCCUCUUCAUCCCUAACUGAGUGUAGACGGAAUCGACCUUUUGUGUCAUAAAGAAGCCGGAAAUUCUCAUUUGUCUU
rnacentral:misc_RNA from 1 species